GAUGAAGAACGUAGCGAAAUGCGAUAAGUAAUGUGAAUUGCAGAAUUCAGUGAAUCAUCGAAUCUUUGAACGCACAUUGCGCCCGCCAGUAUUCUGGCGGGCAUGCCUGUUCGAGCGUCAUUUCAACCAUCAAGCCCCAGGCUUGUGUUGGGGACCUGCGGCUGCCGCAGGCCCUGAAAACCAGUGGCGGGCUCGCUGUCACACCGGGCGUAGUAGAUUUUAUCUCGCUCAGGGCGUGCUGCGGGUUCCGGCCGUUAAAAAGCCUUUUUUACCCAAGGUUGACCUCGGAUCAGGUAGGAAGUCCCGCUGAACUUAAGCAUAUCAAUAAGCGGAGGA
rnacentral:misc_RNA from 1 species